GGCCUGGCUGGCCGGUCCGCCUCACCGCGUGUACUGGUCUGGCCGGGCCUUUCCUUCUGGAGAACCUCAUGCCCUUCAUUGGGUGUGUUGGGGAACCAGGACUUUUACUUUGAAAAAAUUAGAGUGUUUAAAACAGGCGUUUGCUUGAAUACAUUAGCAUGGAAUAACGGAAUAGGACUU
rnacentral:rRNA from 1 species